UGCCAGCCGCCGCGGUAAUACAGAGGGUGCAAGCGUUAAUCGGAAUUACUGGGCGUAAAGCGCACGUAGGUGGGUUUGUAAGUUGUUGGUGAAAAGCUUGGGCUUAACCUGGGUCUGUCCAGCAAAACUACAAGUCUAGAGUGUAUUAGAGGGAAGUGGAAUUUCCGGUGUAGCAGUGAAAUGCGUAGAUAUCGGAAGGAACACCAGUGGCGAAGGCGACUUCCUGGAAUACUACUGACACUGAGGUGCGAAAGCGUGGGGAGCAAACAGGAUUAGAUA
rnacentral:rRNA from 1 species